UACGGAGGGCGCGAGCGUUGUUCGGAAUUACUGGGCGUAAAGCGCGUGUAGGCGGCUUGGUAAGUCGGGUGUGAAAGCCCGGAGCUCAACUCCGGAACUGCAUUCGAAACUGCCUCGCUCGAGUCUCGGAGAGGGUGGUGGAAUUCCCGGUGUAGAGGUGAAAUUCGUAGAUAUCGGGAGGAACACCAGCGGCGAAGGCGGCCACCUGGACGGUGACUGACGCUGAGACGCGAAAGCGUGGGGAGCAAACAGG
rnacentral:rRNA from 1 species